CAAUAGCGUAUAUUAAAGUUGUUGCAGUUAAAAAGCUCGUAGUUGGAUUUCGGGGCAGCCUGGCUGGUCCGCCGCAAGGCGAGUACUGGUCAGCCGCCCUUCCUCUCGAAAGCCCCGACUGCUCUUCGUUGCAGUGGUCGGGUAGUUCGGGACGUUUACUUUGAAAAAAUUAGAGUGUUCAAGGCAGGCCUACGCCUGAAUACAUUAGCAUGGAAUAAUGGAAGAGGACCUCGGUCCUAUUUUGUUGGUUUCCAGGGCCGAAGUAAUGAUUAAGAGGGACAGUUGGGGGCAUUCGUAUUUAAUAGUCAGAGGUGAAAUUCUCGGAUUUAUGAAAGACGAACAACUGCGAAAGCAUUUGCCAAGGAUGUUUUCAUUAA
rnacentral:rRNA from 1 species